rnacentral:lncRNA from 1 species
GGAAGGUGUGAAGCGGUGAGUUUCCAGCCAGGAAGAAGCCUCUCAGCCGUGGGCGUCUUUGCCCGGAGCUGUGAGUAGGGCAGGUGGUUAAGAGCUGGUUUUAUGAGUGGACACCCAGGCCAUGGGCCCUGACCCCCAGGCAGCUGCCCAGCAAAGGCGGGCUGCAGGCUCUGAGAGGACCCGGGCUAAAAAUGAAGAGAAUGUUCCAGAUAUUCAAACCUCUGGUUAGUUCUGUUUGGGGAGCAGACUUCCAGCGUUCUUUCCUGGGAGAUAUGGAAAUGAGC